GCCGCUAUAGCUCAGUGGCUAGAGCGUUGGUCUCGCAAAACCGUAAAGGUCGCAAGUUCGAAUCUUGUUGGCGGCA
rnacentral:tRNA from 1 species